rnacentral:lncRNA from 1 species
AUCCUGGCAGACCAGGGCAGCUGGUGAGGUUGACCGUCAGCCUUGUCAAAGGACCAUGUCAAGAGCACACAGUGCCAUGCUGGCCGGGGGACCUGCAUUCACCACCAAGCCCAGCUGGGAUGCAGGUUUUUAAGUGUCGCUAACCAAGGGACAAUUACAAACCCUGCUUUGGUUUCCAUAGGAACUAGAAAACACUGGGUAACAGAGAGCCUCCAGACAGGCUUCGACCAGACAUCAUGACCAGAAGCAGAUCAGGGGAGAAAUGUUUACUGGGAUUACAAUUCAGUCUGAGCAACUGAGACUGUCCCGAGGAGACCUGGGACAGGUCAGGAGAGUGUUCUGAGAACCCCUGAGAGCUGUCUUCGAAGCGGCCGAGCUGGGCAGGUGAGGCCUGCAGGCAAGAGGAAGCCGGGUAGAUUUGAGAUAAUGAAAUCUGGACUCCACUGGGAGAUCCCAGGCAGGCCCUGCCACCUGAUCCUACCACACUGCCCCUCUGUCCAAGACCCUAAAGCGAAGGGCACCAGCCAUGGACUGGAGCCUCUAUAAAUACAGGAGGGGAUUAGACAGUUUGAGUGACCACGCCAGCAAACAAUCACAGUACACCGUUCUAACGGCACAGAUAAAACAAUUCACAUCACUGAUACAGGUUCCCCUCUCUCAGGUGACUGGAGCUCGCGUUAAGUCAAUGUACAACUGGCCAACGUAGUCUGAAAUCAUUUUGAAAAACAGAACAAAAUUCGCCCACAGCCCACUUCACUUCUCGCCAUAGUUACAGAUCGCCGCUUACUGAGUUGGUCUCCUGAAUCCCAGAAGCC